AACGAACGCUGGCGGCAGGCUUAACACAUGCAAGUCGAACGAGAUCUUCGGAUCUAGUGGCAGACGGGUGAGGAACACGUGGGAACAUCCCUUUCAGUUCGGAAUAAUGUUGGGAAACUAACGCUAAUACCGGAUACGUCCUUCGGGAGAAAGAUUUAUCGCUGAAAGAUUGGCCCGCGUCUGAUUAGCUAGUUGGUGAGGUAAUGGCUCACCAAGGCUACGAUCAGUAGAUGAUCUGAGAGGAUGAUCAGCCACAUUGGGACUGAGACACGGCCCAAACUCCUACGGGAGGCAGCAGUGGGGAAUAUUGGACAAUGGGCGCGAGCCUGAUCCAGCCAUGCCGCGUGAGUGAUGACGGCCUUCGGGUUGUAAAGCUCUUUUGUCCGGGAAGAUAAUGACUGUACCGGAAGAAUAAGCCCCGGCAAACUUCGUGCCAGCCGCCGCGGUAA
rnacentral:rRNA from 1 species